rnacentral:lncRNA from 1 species
CCGUAAGGGUAUAGGGGUUUAUACCCCCACAGCUAGUCCCCGAGCACCAUGUAUUGUGAUGUAACACGCCGUCUUGAGCUUCUUCGAUCAGCGAGGCUCGACGUCUUCAAUAAGCAGGAAAGUCGCCCGAACAGUUGCAACGGUAUUUUGACCAACUCAAAAGACAGUUGAUCAACAUGGACAUCGAAGAAGCGAGUUGUUCGAAGAAUGCAUGGUGCUCUAAAU